CGAUGUUGACUCUCCACCGUAGUAGUCAUUCCUGUCCAUGUCAAGUACCUAUUUGAAGUAUGCACAAAACCACAUCAUUAGUCGAUCAAUUUGAUGAUUACUUGGAACAAACUAGAUAACUGAUUGAAGAUAUAGAGUGGAGAAAGGCAUCUCCUUAUAUAUUAACAUAAACUAAGCUGAAUUAAUCUGUUAACAUCCAAAUGAUUCUGUCAAAGUGACGCAAACAUAACAGUUCAAGCUUCAAACUUUAGAAAUUCUCGAUAUCAAAGAUGUUUGCUCACUUAAAUUUAAAGGAGUCUCCACUAAUGUUUUCAAAAAAAUCAAUAUUGGAGAAUAAAACCGAAGAAACACUGGUGAUUUCUCGCGGAAAUCUGAGAACUGACGAGGAGGAAAACGAAAAAGAUGGAGAAGAAGAGACAAUUGAUUUCUCUGUAUUACAUUAAAACCAGACUUUAAAAAAACUAUGUAACUGAAUAAUCUCACCUUGAGAUCCGGUUCAUGGAGGAUAAUCUUCGCGUUAUCAAAGCAGCCAAGGAACUUAUCAGAAUAACCAGAAGAAUGUCAUCAACAUCUCCGGUGAAGAAGACGACGAAGACAACGAAAAUUCUGCGAGCGUUCUCCGAUCUGUUCGGCUUGGAUUCGAUAGGUAUGAAGAAGAGCUUGUCGAACACGAAUC
rnacentral:lncRNA from 1 species